CUUCCCAUUCCGAACAGAGAAGUUAAACCUGCCCGCGCCGAUGGUACUGCAUCUUUAUGUGGGAGAGUAGGUCGCCGCCUCCU
rnacentral:rRNA from 1 species